UGAGGAAUUUUGCGCAAUGGCCGCAAGGCUGACGCAGCAACGCCGCGUGGGUGAUGAAGGCCUUCGGGUCGUAAAGCCCUGUCAGGUGGGAAGAAAGGCCUGGAGAGGAGAGGUUUCAGGUUUGACGGUGCCACCAGAGGAAGCACCGGCUAACUCCGUGCCAGCAGCCGCGGUAAUACGGAGGGUGCGAGCGUUAUUCGGAAUUACUGGGCGUAAAGCGCGUGUAGGCGGGGGGACAAGUCUGAUGUGAAAGCCCUGGGCUUAACCUGGGAAGUGCAUUGGAAACUGUUUUUCUUGAGUACUGGAGAGGAAGGGGGAAUUCCCGGUGUAGAGGUGAAAUUCGUAGAGAUCGGGAGGAAUACCAGUGGCGUAGGCGCCCUUCUGGACGGUAACUGUCGCUGAGACGCGAAAGCGUGGGGAGCAAACAG
rnacentral:rRNA from 1 species